rnacentral:rRNA from 1 species
UACGGGGGGGGCAAGCGUUGUUCGGAAUUACUGGGCGUAAAGGGCUCGUAGGCGGCCAACUAAGUCGGAUGUGAAAUCCCCAGGCUCAACCUGGGAACUGCAUCCGAUACUGGAUGGCUUGAAUCCGGGAGAGGGAUGCAGAAUUCCAGGUGUAGCGGUGAAAUGCGUAGAUAUCUGGAGGAACACCGGUGGCGAAGGCGGCAUCCUGGACCGGUAUUGACACUGAGGCGCGAAAGCCAGGGGAGCAAACGGG